UUACACAGCACGCGAAAUUCGAAUUUAUGACUUUUGGUGGAGUCUGAACUUUUGACGAAUCUCACAAUGUGCUUAAAAAUGAAGGUGGAAUCUCACAUGACUGCUUAGUAGAGCAGCAAGCUAGAGGCUUUUGAGCAAGUAAAUUCUAUCCACUAAAGAUAAGUGGCCAUUAUCCAUUUCUCUACCAAUCAUUGUAGCUUCUUGUCUUUGGAAGGCAAAUUGAAGGAGAAGCUUUUGGAAUGGAAGGAGUUCUGCAUUCUUCAACACUAACCCUUCCCAUUACCUGUCAUCAUAUCUCCAAAACCCAGAUCCUGAAAACAGCCAACCACAACCCCACGCAAAGGCCAAUGCUAAUGAUCUCCACGUUCCCAGCAACACUGGGAACCAAAACUAGCACGAAAUUCUCAACAAUAUUGGCAGCAGCAGCGGUUCAGCCUUCGCAGCCUCUCGAUCUAACGGAAGACAAUAUUCGACAGGUCUUAGCCGAUGCAAGGGUUGAAUUCGGGCAGCUCUUCGACACUUCAGUUGGCAUGACAGGACAAGUAGACCUUGCUGAACUUGACGGACCCUUUGUGAAGAUCAGUCUGAAAGGCCGGUUUUGGCACGAACGGAGCGUGGUUCUGGCUAGACUGGCCAAUUAUCUCAAGCAGAGGAUCCCUGAAAUUUUAGAGGUUGAUAUAGAAGAUGAGAAGCAAUUGGAUGACAGCCCUGCAAACUUUUAGAGGUUAUAAACUUCAGACCAAAAAAGAAAGGUGUAACUAUAUAUUUUAGACUGUCUGUAAAAGGGUGCAUUCAACCCGAAAAAAAGGUUCAAGUCUCUUAUGAAGACCAAGUACACCCUUGGAUUAGCACAUAAGCAAGCAACUUACAUUUUUGACAUUCUUUAUACAAAAUAAAAUGAACAUGUUUCGCAUUUCCCCAUUAAUUCUUUUUGGCAUUUUUCCAGUAGUAUUAGAAAUUUAGAAGCCA